UACAGAGGUCCCGAGCGUUGUUCGGAUUCACUGGGCGUAAAGGGUGCGUAGGUGGCUUGGAAAGUUUGAUGUGAAAGCUCAGGGCUUAACCCUGAAAUGGCAUUGAGUACUGCUGAGCUGGAGGUUUGGAGGGGGGGACUGGAAUUCUUGGUGUAGCAGUGAAAUGCGUAGAUAUCAAGAGGAACACCAGUGGCGAAGGCGAGUCCCUGGACAACACCUGACACUGAGGCACGAAAGCUAGGGGAGCAAACAGG
rnacentral:rRNA from 1 species